GCGGGAUUGACGGAUCCAGAGUUUGAUCAUGGCUCAGGAUGAACGCYAGCKACAGGCUUAACACAUGCCAGUCGAGGGGCAGCAUGGUCUUAGCUUGCUAAGGCCGACGGCGACCGGCGCACGGGUGAGUGACACGUAUCCAACCUGCCGUCUACUCUUGGACAGCCUUCUGAHAGGVAGAUUAAUACAAGAUGGCAUCAUGAGUUCACAUGUUCACAUGAUUAAMGGUAUUCCGGUAGACGAUGGGGAUGCGUUCCAUUAGAUAGUAGGCGGGGUAACGGCCCACCUAGUCUUCGAUGGAUAGGGGUUCUGAGAGGAAGGUCCCCCACAUUGGAACUGAGACACGGUCCAAACUCCUACGGGAGGCAGCAGUGAGGAAUAUUGGUCAAUGGGCGAGAGCCUGAACCAGCCAAGUAGCGUGAAGGAUGACYGCCCUAUGGGUUGUAAACUUCUUUUAUAAAGGAAUAAAGUCGGGUAUGGAUACCCGUUUGCMUGUACUUUAUGAAUAAGGAUCGGCUAACUCCGUGCCAGCAGCCGCGGUAAUACGGAGGAUCCGAGCGUUAUCCGGAUUUAUUGGGUUUAAAGGGAGCGUAGAUGGAUGUUUAAGUCAGUUGUGAAAGUUUGCGGCUCAACCGUAAAAUUGCAGUUGAUACYGGAUAUCUUGAGUGCAGUUGAGGCAGGCGGNAUUCGUGGUGUAGCGGUGAAAUGCUUAGAUAUCACGAAGAACUCCGAUUGCGAAGGCAGCCUGCUAAGCUGCAACUGACAUUGAGGCUCGAAAGUGUGGGUAUCAAACAGGAUUAGAUACCCUGGUAGUCCACACGGUAAACGAUGAAUACUCGCUGUUUGCGAUAUACUGCAAGCGGCCAAGCGAAAACKUCAAAGUAUUCCACCYGGGGAGUACGCAGGCAACGGUGAAACUCAAARGAAUUGACGGGGG
rnacentral:rRNA from 1 species